GGAGUGCUAGGCAAUAGCGGAGACGACGACACCGCAAAUCACCUGGAGACAGGUUCCACCAGCUAUGCGACCCUUGACAUGAACGAUGGUCGAAACCAACACCAUGAUACUAGUGGAUAAUGAUAUAUAUGAACGUUCAAGUGACGUGACGCCAAUUUCCGUAAAGCCUCCUGAAAAUGUUCC